GAGUGGCAGACGGGUGAGUAACGCGUGGGAACAUACCCUUUCCUGCGGAAUAGCUCCGGGAAACUGGAAUUAAUACCGCAUACGCCCUACGGGGGAAAGAUUUAUCGGGGAAGGAUUGGCCCGCGUUGGAUUAGCUAGUUGGUGGGGUAAAGGCCUACCAAGGCGACGAUCCAUAGCUGGUCUGAGAGGAUGAUCAGCCACAUUGGGACUGAGACACGGCCCAAACUCCUACGGGAGGCAGCAGUGGGGAAUAUUGGACAAUGGGCGCAAGCCUGAUCCAGCCAUGCCGCGUGAGUGAUGAAGGCCUUAGGGUUGUAAAGCUCUUUCACCGGAGAAGAUAAUGACGGUAUCCGGAGAAGAAGCCCCGGCUAACUUCGUGCCAGCAGCCGCGGUAAUACGAAGGGGGCUAGCGUUGUUCGGAAUUACUGGGCGUAAAGCGCACGUAGGCGGAUAU
rnacentral:rRNA from 1 species